CAGUAGCCGCGGUAAUACGGAGGGUGCAAGCGUUAAUCGGAAUUACUGGGCGUAAAGCGCUCGCAGGCGGUCUGUCAAGUCAGAUGUGAAAUCCCCGGGCUUAACCUGGGAACUGCAUUUGAAACUGGCAGGCUAGAGUCUUGUAGAGGGGGGUAGAAUUCCAGGUGUAGCGGUGAAAUGCGUAGAGAUCUGGAGGAAUACCGGUGGCGAAGGCGGCCCCCUGGACAAAGACUGACGCUCAGGUGCGAAAGCGUGGGGAGCAAACAGGAUUAGAUACCCCAGUAGUCCCUGUCUCUUAUAC
rnacentral:rRNA from 1 species